rnacentral:rRNA from 1 species
GCUACUGCCAUCAGAGUUCGAUUAAGCCAUGUUAGUCGAGGGUACCUCUUCUUCAUCGGAGGAUGAGGUAACCCGGCGGACGGCUCAGUAACACGUGGAUAACUUGCCCUUGGGUCUGGGAUAACCUUUGGGAAACUGGGGCUAAUACCGGAUAGAGCAUCGAUCGCUGGAAUGCAUGAUGCUCGAAAACUACGGUGCCCAAGGAUAGGUCUGCGGCUGAUUAGGUUGUUGUUGAUGUAAUGGACCAACAAGCCUACGAUCGGUACGGGUUGUGAGAGCAAUAGCCCGGAGAUGGGUUCUGAGAAAAGAACCCAGGUCCUACGGGACGCAUCAGGCGCGAAAACUUUACAAUGUGCGGAAGCACGAUAAGGGAACUCUGAGUGCCCCCUAAGGGGGCUGUUCUAGUGUCUAAAAAGCAAUAGAAGUAAGGGCUGUGCAAGACCGGUGCCAGCCGCCGCGGUAACACCGGCAGCCCAAGUGGUAGCCACGUUUAUUGGGUCUAAAGCGUUCGUAGCCGGCUUGGUAAGUUCCUUGGUAAAUUUGACCGCUUAACGGUUAAGCUAUCAGGGAAUACUGCUUGGCUUGGGACCGGGAGAGGUCAGAGGUACUCCAGGGGUAGGGGUGAAAUCUAUUAAUCCUUGGGGGACCACCGGUAGCGAAGGCGUCUGACCAGACCGGGUCCGACGGUGAGGGACGAAGGCUGGGGUCGCGAACCGGAUUAGAUACCCGGGUAGUCCCAGCCGUAAACGAUGCGGGCCAGGUGUUGGCAUUACUGCGAGUGAUGUCAGUGCCAAAGGGAAGCCGUUAAGCCCGCCAUCUGGGGAGUACGGUCGCAAGGCUGAACUUAAAGAAAUUGGCGGGG